AACGAACGCUGGCGGCAGGCUUAACACAUGCAAGUCGAGCGCCCCGCAAGGGGAGCGGCAGACGGGUGAGUAACGCGUGGGAAUCUACCCAUCUCUACGGAAUAACGCAUGGAAACGUGUGCUAAUACCGUAUACGCCCUUCGGGAGAAAGAUUUAUCGGAGAUGGAUGAGCCCGCGUUGGAUUAGCUAGUGGGUGGGGUAAAGGCCUACCAAGGCGACGAUCCAUAGCUGGUCUGAGAGGAUGAUCAGCCACACUGGGAGUGAGACACGGCCUAUACUCCUACGGGAGGCAGCAGUGGGGAAUAUUGGACAAUGGGCGCAAGCCUGGUCCAGCCAUGCCGCGUGAGUGAUGAAGGCCCUAGGGUUGUAAGGCUCUUUCACCGGUGAAGAUAAUGACGGUAACCGGAGAAGAAGCCCCGGCUAACUUCGUGCCAGCCGCCGCAGUAAGAC
rnacentral:rRNA from 1 species